AACAAACGCUGGCGGCGUGCCUAAUACAUGCAAGUCGAACGGGGAAAGUAGCAAUAUGAGUACUAGUGGCGCACGGGUGAGUAACGCGUGGAUAAUCUGCCUUGAAGAGGGGGAUAACUAGUCGAAAGAUUAGCUAAUACCGCAUAAGACCACAAGAACUGAGGUUCAAGGGGUCAAAGGUUUUUCGCUUCAAGAUGAGUCCGCGUAAGAUUAGCUAGUUGGUGAGGUAAUGGCUCACCAAGGCAACGAUCUUUAACUGGUCUGAGAGGAUGAUCAGUCACACUGGAACUGAGACACGGUCCAGACUCCUACGGGAGGCAGCAGUAGGGAAUAUUGCACAAUGGAGGAAACUCUGAUGCAGCGACGCCGCGUGAGUGACGAAGGCCUUCGGGUCGUAAAGCUCUGUCGCAGGGGAAUAACACAAUGAAUGUACCCUGUAAGAAAGGAUCGGCUAACUUCGUG
rnacentral:rRNA from 1 species